UCCGGAUUUACUGGGUGUAAAGGGCGUGCAGCNGGGCAUGCAAGUCAGAUGUGAAAUCUCAGGGCUUNANCCCUGAAACUGCAUUUGAAACUGUAUGUCUUGAGUGCCNGNAGAGGUANUCGGAAUUCCUUGUGUAGCGGUGAAAUGCGUAGAUAUAAGGAAGAACACCAGUGGCGAAGGCGGAUUACUGGACGGUAACUGACGGUGAGGCGCGAAAGCGUGGGGAGCGAACAGGAUUAGAUACCCUGGUAGUCCACGCUGUAAACGAUGGAUACUAGGUGUGCGGGGACUGACCCCNUGCGUGCCGCAGUUAACACAAUAAGUAUCCCACCUGGGGAGUACGAUCGCAAGGUUGAAACUCAAAGGAAUUGACGGGGGCCCGCACAAGCGGUGGAUUAUGUGGUUUAAUUCGAAGCAACGCGAAGAACCUUACCAGGUCUUGACAUCCUGCUAACGAAGUAGAGAUACAUUAGGUGCCCUUCGGGGAAAGCAGAGACAGGUGGUGCAUGGUUGUCGUCAGCUCGUGUCGUGAGAUGUUGGGUUAAGUCCCGCAACGAGCGCAACCCCUAUUGUUAGUUGCUACGCAAGAGCACUCUAGCGAGACUGCCGUUGACAAAACGGAGGAAGGUGGGGACGACGUCAAAUCAUCAUGCCCCUUAUGACCUGGGCUACACACGUAAUACAAUGGCGGUCAACAAAGGGAUGCAAAGCCGCGAGGCAGAGCGAACCCCAAAAAGCCGUCCCAGUUCGGAUCGCAGGCUGCAACCCGCCUGCGUGAAGUCGGAAUCGCUAGUAAUCGUGGGUCAGCAUACCACGGUGAAUACGUUCCCGGGCCUUGUACACACCGCCCGUCACACCAUGAGAGUCGGGAACACCCGAAGUCCGUAGCCUAACCGCAAGGAGGGCGCGGCCGAAGGUGGGUUCGAUAAUUGGGGUGAAGUCGUAACAAGGUAGAAUCACUAGUGAAUUCGCGGCCGCCUGCAGGUCGACCAUANGGGAGAGCUCCCNACGC
rnacentral:rRNA from 1 species